ACUGACAAUAAUUGAUUAUAAAGUCCUGUAUAAUUCAGGAAAUAUAGCAGCUGGUUUAUUACUUGUAAAGUGUUCCAGACAUUUCCACCAUUAAAUGAUAAAAGAAUCACCAAGAAAACCUUCUGACCUCCAGCUGGUACACAAUGCUGCUACCAGUCUGUUAACCAGGAGGAAGUGUAACUGAGAGAAGUGAAAAUACAGAUCUAAGAGGAGAUGGAGAGAUUCAGGGAGGAGCUCAGAUGUUACUGAAUUAUAGAAGAGAGAGGAACUUCUAUAUUCAACAGAGUUCAACAUACAAACCAUCAACAUUACCUUCAUUCAACAUGCUGUCACUGCAUCAUUGUGUGUCUUCUCUCAUAUUUCUACUUCUUCUAAAAGGUGUCAGCUGUGAAGAACUGACUGCUGACAAGAAAGAAGAGUACAGUUUAGAAGGCAGCUCUGUUACUCUGUCCUACAAAUACUCCAGAACUGCAGCUGGUGGUGAUCAUUUCUUCUGGUAUCGACAAUAUCCAGGAAAACCACCAGAGUUCAUCAUCUCUCAUGUUGGUACAGGAACAAUAAUGAAUCGUCUGAUCCCUGGACUGAAGAUUGAAGUGGCACAAAAGCAAAUCCUGAUGCAGAUCUCCUCUGCUGCAGUGACAGACUCUGCUGUGUACUACUGUGCUCUGCAGCCCACAGUGACAGGAAACACCAGAACUCUGUACAAAAACCUUUGGAGCAAAGACAACACAACACAACAUGGCAGAUCUGAACUUCUUCCCUCCACUAGAGGGCCACCUUAUCAAAGUGUAAAGGAGAAGACAAAGUGAACCAGCCAACAGGAGAUGUCAUCGCUACUGAAGGACACACAGUUACACUUGGCUGCACAUUUGAGACAACUUCUUCAUAUCCUGAUCUGUUCUGGUACAAACAGGAUGGAAACAACAGCCCUACCUUCAU